AGCUCCAAUAGCGUAUAUUAAAGUUGUUGCAGUUAAAAAGCUCGUAGUUGGAUCUCGGGUACUAGCAUGUGGUACGCAUAACUGCUGUUACUACAUGUCUGGUCCUAAUCAAUCGGUUGGCCGUUGAUGUCCUUCAUUGGGUGUUUUCGGUAGCCGGUACGUUUACUUUGAGAAAAUUAGAGUGCUUAAAGCAGGCUAUAGGCCUGAAUAAUGUUGCAUGGAAUAAUAGAAUAGGACCUCGGUUCGAUUUAGUUGGUUUGGUAGAGCAUUGAGGUAAUGAUUAAUAGGGACAGACGGGGGCAUUCGAAUUGCGGUGUUAGAGGUGAAAUUCUUGGAUCGCCGCAAGACGAACAACUGCGAAAGCAUUUGCCAAGAAUGUUUUCA
rnacentral:rRNA from 1 species